rnacentral:rRNA from 1 species
CCCUUAGAUGUUCUGGGCCGCACGCGCGCUACACUGACGAAUGCAACGAGCUUAUAACCUUGGCCGAAAGGUCUGGGUAAUCUCCAAAUUUCGUCGUGAUGGGGAUAGAUUAUUGCAAUUAUUAAUCUUCAACGAGGAAUGCCUAGUAAGCGCAAGUCAUCAGCUUGCGUUGAUUACGUCCCUGCCUUUUGUACACACCGCCCGUCGCUCCUACCGAUUGAAUGGUCCGGUGAAGCGUUCGGACCGUGGCCUUUGGACGGUUCGCCGUCUGUUGGUCGUGGGAAGUUCGUUAAACCUUAUCAUUUAGAGGAAGGAGAANUCGUANCA